rfam:Ixodes scapularis strain Wikel colony gcontig_1108379172906, whole genome shotgun sequence.
GCCUCGGUGGCUCUGAGGCGAGAGCACCGGCCUACAGGUCCUCAGGUGGCGGGUUCGAAUCCCGACCGAGGUG